rnacentral:rRNA from 1 species
GGUUAAGCGACUAAGCGUACACGGUGGAUGCCCUGGCAGUCAGAGGCGAUGAAGGGCGUGCUAAUCUGCGAUAAGCGCCGGUAAGGUGAUAUGAACCGUUAUAACCGGCGAUUUCCGAAUGGGGAAACCCAGUGUGAUUCGUCACACUAUCAUUAACUGAAUCCAUAGGUUAAUGAGGCGAACCGGGGGAACUGAAACAUCUAAGUACCCCGAGGAAAAGAAAUCAACCGAGAUUCCCCCAGUAGCGGCGAGCGAACGGGGAGGAGCCCAGAGCCUGAAUCAGCAUGUGUGUUAGUGGAAGCGUCUGGAAAGGCGCGCGAUACAGGGUGACAGCCCCGUACACAAAAGCGCAUGUGCUGUGAGCUCGAUGAGUAGGGCGGGACACGUGGUAUCCUGUCUGAAUAUGGGGGGACCAUCCUCCAAGGCUAAAUACUCCUGACUGACCGAUAGUGAACCAGUACCGUGAGGGAAAGGCGAAAAGAACCCCGGCGAGGGGAGUGAAAAAGAACCUGAAACCGUGUACGUACAAGCAGUGGGAGC